UACGAAGGGGAGCUAGCUGUUGGUCGAAUUCACUGGGCGUAAAGGCGCACGUAGGCGGACUCUUAAGUCGGGGGUGAAAUCCUGGAGCUCAACUCCAGAACUGCCUUCGAUACUGAGAGUCUUGAGUCCGGGAGAGGUGAGUGGAACUGCGAGUGUAGAGGUGAAAUUCGUAGAUAUUCGCAAGAACACCAGUGGCGAAGGCGGCUCACUGGCCCGGUACUGACGCUGAGGUGCGAAAGCGUGGGGAGCAAACAGG
rnacentral:rRNA from 1 species